GCUACCUAAAUCUCAAGCUACAAGGACCCUACUAAAUUGAGAAAGGAAAAAAAAAAAAAAAAGAACAAUUCGGUUAAGCCAGCGAGAAGAGUAACCUUAAGAACGAUUCACCAAAAAUUGGUCACGUCAAACAGGUCAGGCAGGCUUAUGUAGGACAUGCAAAUAUUUUGAAGAGAUGGGCCGAUAGCCGCUCCUGGGUAGACG
rnacentral:lncRNA from 1 species